rnacentral:rRNA from 1 species
ACGUAGGUGGCAAGCGUUAUCCGGAUUUACUGGGCGUAAAGGGUGUGCAGGCGGGACGACAAGUGGGGUGUGAAAUCUCCCAGCUUAACUGGGAUAGGUUAUGCCAGACUGUCGUUCUAGAGGACGAGAGAGGGGGGUGGAAUUCCGGGUGUAGUGGUGAAAUGCGUAGAGAUCCGGAGGAACCCCAGAGGCGAAGGCGGCCCCCUGGCUCGUACCUGACGCUCAUGCACGACAGCGUGGGGAUCAAACAGG